GACGAACGCUGGCGGCGUGCUUAACACAUGCAAGUCGAACGGAAAGGCCCUGCUUGCCGGGUGCUCGAGUGGCGAACGGGUGAGUAACACGUGGGUGAUCUGCCCCUUACUUUGGGAUAAGCCUGGGAAACUGGGUCUAAUACUGGAUAGGACCAUGCUGUAGGUGGUGUGGUGGAAAGAUUUUUUCGGUAAGGGAUGAGCUCGCGGCCUAUCAGCUUGUUGGUGGGGUAAUGGCCUACCAAGGCGUCGACGGGUAGCCGGCCUGAGAGGGUGGACGGCCACAUUGGGACUGAGAUACGGCCCAGACUCCUACGGGAGGCAGCAGUGGGGAAUAUUGCACAAUGGGCGCAAGCCUGAUGCAGCGACGCCGCGUGGGGGAUGACGGCCUUCGGGUUGUAAACGCCUUUCAGCCAUGACGAAGCCUCUUUUGGGGUGACGGUAGUGGUAGAAGAAGCACCGGCUAACUACGUG
rnacentral:rRNA from 1 species